rnacentral:tmRNA from 1 species
GGGGAUGCCAGGCAUCGACGGUUGGUCGUGUCGAAUGUGUGCAGUGUCGAAAACUGGUAAUCAAUUCGUUAAAAGGUUCCACUCUGUACAUGCAAACAAAGCAGUACCAAGUCCUUACGCUCGCGCGUUUGGAUUCGCUCCCGCAUUUGCGUAAUCUUACGCUCGCCGGUUCGAUGCUCCGCUCAUAAACGUCUCAUCCGUGAGCCGGGGUAGAAUAGCCACGAGACUGUGGAAAUCUAUGCCGUUGUCGUAGAUUUUCGAGCUUGUAACAACUCGAGACAGUAGUGUUUUGUUUUUCCUCUAGCUACUGGACUUUAAAUCAAAGGAUAGACUAUGCACUGUAGAUUCACCUUCACACCCUGAUUCGGACGGGAGUUC